rnacentral:rRNA from 1 species
GACAGAGGUGCCAAGCGUUAGGCGGAAUCACUGGGCUUAAAGCGUGGGUAGGCGGGUGCCUAAGUACCUUGUGAAAUCCCCCGGCUCAACCGGGGAACUGCUGGGUAUACUGGGUGCCUUGGGUCAUCUAGGGGCUGCCGGAACAAAUGGUGGAGCGGUGAAAUGCGUAGAUAUCAUUUGGAACGCCAACGGCGAAAGCAGGCAGCUGGGGAUGCACCGACGCUGAGACACGAAAGCCAGGGGAGCGAACGGG